rnacentral:lncRNA from 1 species
AAAGAAACAUGAGGGUGUGUAGAUAAUGGUAGUGAAAGAUGGUCUUUAUUUUCUUUCCUAUUUAACUGAAUCUUCUUUCAUGGUGUCUUUAUUUCCUUCCCUUUUCAGUUGGAGAGCAGGUAGGAGGAAUAAGACUCUGACAUGAGUCUGAGAUAGCCUCCAUUUCCCUUUUUUUUUACUCAUAAUAUAUCUAGGGUCUCUGUGUGUGCGCGCGCGUGCGUGAGAGAGAGAGAGAGAG